UGAGUCUUACCUCAACCGCUAGGGCUACAGUAACACUGUAACAGGGUUGAACUCGGAAGCUGAAGGAGAUGUCCAGUGACUCCAGUCGAGCUGUCAAGGCGUAGACUAUAUCAGUAUAUAAUAUAUAUGUAUAGUGUAUACAUUUGUAUUAUGAGAGCCGAGAGAGUCCGAGAGAGAGAUUAGAGAUACCUAGGGUUGAACUUGGAAGUGGAAGAAGGAGUCAAGGAGAUUUCGAGUAAACUGUCGAGGGCCUCGAAACGUCGAGCGAGAGAGACUCGGAGAUGGCACAGCCGCACAUUGGCACUUCAGA
rnacentral:lncRNA from 1 species